GCGAUGCGGGGAUCGGGGGAUGCCAGAGGCUGUCCAGGAGUGCCUGUUCCCCCCUCUUUCCCGGGUCGCCCCAGGGACACGGUCCCCAUCAGGCACCCUAGGACCAGGCUCCUUAUUGGGGCAUGCACCAGGACAAUUCUGCUCAGCCCAGGGGGGCUGGUGCAGGUGGGCUCUGUGUCCCACCUCUUCUCCCAGCUCACAGCCCGGGGAGUCUGGGCACACGGGCCCCCAUGGGUGGUGAUGACUGCUGAGGGGACACUGGGGGUCCCUGAGCAGCAGCUCUGCAGGGUUCAUGCUAUGGGUCUUGCACAGCCAGCGGCUUCUGCCCCUUGGGAAGGACAGGGAGAGGUUUUGGGCCCUUCACACAAAGUCAUGACCGUGGAGGGCUGGGGUCCCUGUGAGGGUCAGGGUACAUUUUUCUGGCCAGCCCUGCUCUGCCACCCCAGGCCUGGUCCCCCCAUCAUCACCCACAUCACAAACCCUGCACCUGCAGUACCAGUGCUGGGACCUGCCAGGUCCCUGAACAGGGAAAGGGUUUUUCCAUCCCACUCCAGUCUUUCCAUUCACCACCCCUGGCUCAAAGCAUGGGCUGGCAUGAGCCUGGUCCCCUCCAUGCCCCACUCAGGAUGCCCCACACUCCCUGGCUGGGACCCUCUUGUCCCCACAACCACACUGAUGCAGAAGCAGCACAGUAGCAGGAAAACUGAAUAAAUCAUGGUGCUGAAUUAUGGAGGAGCUGGCAGGCACGUAGCACAAGCCACGUGGGUAUGAUGCUGGUAAUGCCAGCAUACUCCAUCCUCAUCACCUGCCCCAAUGCCCUUCCUUGUUAGCACCCAAAUAAUCCGUGAAUGGGUGCAGCUGAAGCUGCCUCUCACCAUCCCACACCUUUGCCUCCUUGACCCCUACCUAUUGAGAUCCUGACCCCAACCACAUCCUGCUGUAACCACCAGCCCCCUCCGGAGUGGGGACUGGAGCAGGUGCCCUCAGUCCCAGCCUCUCCCUCCUCCUGGUACUGGUGCUUCCCCUGGUGAAGUCUGGGACACAGCCAGCACCACCAGCUGGGCACCCACCCUCCAGGGACCCCAAGGACUCAAGCAUGCAUCUCAGCAUGGACAGGCAGGAGCUGCUUCUUCAUAAUCCCCUGCCCCAGGAUUUGCUCCUCUGGGCAGGUUCCCUAUGCCUGCACAAGCAGAUUACAGGGGGCUAUUUCUGACGGCAGCUUAAAGGUUUUGGUAAAGGAAUGACGCCAUGGGCCCCCUCUGCAGCAGCACAUGCCAGGGGCACUGGAGGCCUAGGUAUCUGUGACCUGCAGGAGUCUGGGACUGAGAACCACUGGCCCCAUGGAGCAGGGAUAGGGUGCUGGGCUCCUGUGGUGGUGUGUGCUCCCUACCCUAUGGCACAGAGACAGGGUUUGGGGCUCAAUCCCUUGUACUGUCACUGCAGGGGGCAGUGCUAAUGGUGGGGGGCACACCUCACCACCUGCUGAGCAGAGAGGGGAGCAGCCAGAAGGGGAAGGCUGCAAGCACAGGCAGGGCAUGCUGAGAAUUCACCCCCAGCCCAGCCUGGCGUGAGCAGGUGGGUGGAGGCCUCAGCCCCAUCUGUCUCCCACUGCCCCACAUCCGUCCCCCAGCCCUCUGCUCUGAUCCUGUCCCCGUCACACGCAUGGCAGAGGCAGAAACAAAGCAGAAAUAAUCCGUCUGUGCCCCCCGCUGAACCCCAGCCUCACGCCAGGAAUGGGCCACGUCACAGUGCCAUGGGCAUUGCCCCUGCCUGGCCAUGGGGGCUGCAGGGGUCUUCCCCUGGGAUCCCCACAGCUCUGGGGGCUUUGCUGGCAGCCGGGGCCCCGAGCCCCGCUCCAGGCUGUCAUGUCUGAGGGAGCAGCAGCCCUGGGAUUCCCUGGCUUUCACCUUCUGCCAACCCAACCAGUGUCCCACCCCUGUGAGCCAGAGCACAGUGCAGAGGAGCAGGGACAUGCAGGGGGUCCCGAGAAAUGAUGGGGGCUCUCUCCCAGCAUCUGGCUCGGCUCAGCAGAAGCUGCUCCCAGAAUUAGCCCGGGAUGUUCUGGGUGAGGAAAUCCAGCCCGUCAAUCUCAUUAGCAGCGAUUAGCUCCCAGGCUGUCCUCGCCGUCAUGACCCUGCGCAGACGCUGGGCCUGUGCCCACCACCCUCACCAACCCCGCCGCCCUCGCAGCCCACGGGCACUCACGGAAGUACUGCAGGGUCUCCUCUAUCUGCUGGGGGGGUCCUGCUGCCAUCUCCUGGCCACGCUCUGCCCGGCCGAGCGGCGCUGGGGACAGCGGGCGUGGGAUGCAGCGUGGGGUGAAGGAUGCCGGGACAGUGGUUCAUCUCCGGCCACAGAAUGGGGACAGGAUGAAGGAACAGCCCAAAGCAGACCCAGCUCCUCACCCCGCUCGCCCCGGUUCCCCCAGGCGACCCACUGGCACCCCCGGCUCUACCCACCGGUGAUGGUCGCAGCAUCACGGUGUGUGCCCGUGUCUGACCCGUGGGACACCGGGUUGGUGUGGGGACACGCAGCGACAGGUGAGUCCGGGCUGGGCUGGAGGUGGCAGGCGGGUGGGCUCUGGCUGGGGAGGGUCUCUCGUGGGACCGGGGUGUCCAGUUUGGCUGGCGUUACGUGGGGGCCUGGCUGCCAUGGGGAGAGGCACCGUCCGCCCUGGCUCCCUGGAGCUGCGCUGGCGGGCAGCAGAGUCCCUUCUCCGGCUCUGCCUGGGGGGAAGGAGCUGUUGGGGUGAUGCUCUAGGGAUCAGGGACACAUCCUGAACCCCCAUAUCCCCCAGCAUCCUGCCAUAGGACAAACACCUUCCUGGGAGGCAACAUCUGCCAGCCCGGGGGCCGGACGGCAUCUCCAGGGCUCAGGUGCCCCUGCUCCCUGCCGUUGGGACAGGGGAGCUGUGGGAACAGACUCCAGCUCAGUUCCGCCCCUGGAUAUGGGGCAGGUUUAGCAGAGGCAAGGGGUCAGCGUACCUGCUCUGCGGUGGCUGCUACGUGACGCGGGGGGCUCAGCACCAAAGCAGCGCCAGUGCCGGACAGGACAGGACCCUGCCCCGCCACGGGGAUUCCUGCUGGGUCGCUGCCUGUGGAGCGAACAGGAAAGGAGCUGUCGAGCUUCCCGGCAAUGGGCAGACACGGGAGUGGUGCCAGCGAGAGCCCUGGGGAGCUCCACCUCGAAGAGCAAAGUCCACCUGUGAACCUCCACCCUGUCUGCACCAGGAUGCAGAGCGGGGACCUGCCGUGCAGUGCAGGGCAGGGCUGGGCAGCAUCUGCGGCUGCCCCAAUCCAACCAUAAACACAUCAUGAGACGGGCCAUAAAUCCAGCAUAUCCCUGCUCUCCUGCCACCUCCAGUGGCACUGGCUCGGGCUGCAGCCACUGCUGGCACUGCUGCUCCUCUGCCCUGUGGGGCAGGAACCUCUGCACAAGCCCCCUGCCCCAUCUCUACCCCUGCUCCCACCUCUACCACCUCCCCGUGGGGGCUGUGGCACCAGCAGCCCCUCGUUCCUGGCUGCAGGCUCAUGCCAGGGCAUUGCUGCCCUCUCUCCUGGCACAGUAAUGUGUCGCUGCCACAUGCACAGCACCCAGACCAGGCCACCCUGCACCCCCCCGGCACACAGGGACGGCGUGAGGCAACAUGCAGCUCCCAAAGCACACCCACAGCCUUCCCCAGUCCUCUGCCCCAUGGCACUGGGUCCAAUCCUGCACCGCGAUGCCAGGAGAACAGCUCCCCAGCCCCAAGCCCUCAGACCCUCUUCUCCCCAGAGAGGGACAGGGACCCACCGUGUGUAGGUGCCGCGCUGCCGCUGGCUCCGGGGAGGGAGCCCGGCCGGUGAGUCAGCUCAGCCGGGAGUGCCAGAGCCCUGCGUCUGCUUUUGGCCCAGCUCCUGCACGUACAUUCACUCUCCCCGGGGGAACCUUGUUCAGACACGUGCGAGCAGCUCCCAUCGCCCGCUGCUCCCAUCGCCCCCCGCUCCCAUUGACCCCGAACCCCACUGUCCCCCCUCCACCAGCGUUCGGCUGCCGAUGACCCGGGGACCUGCCCCACGGGAGCUGGGCGAGAGCAGGACGGUGCUCCCGGCACCGAUGGGACAGGGGCCAGGAGGAGCAAGGUCCCGGCUCAGUCUGCCCCGGGUUACCUGUGCAGACUCGCGCCUGCUGCUCCCUGCCCUGCCCUGUGCCGUCCUGCAGCUCCUGCCCGGGCACCUCCCGCGGAGCGGCUGAGCGCCGUGAGAAGGGGAGAGACGAGGCAAAUUCUCCGGGGGCUGCGGCAGCCGCCCUCUGUGACACCCCCAGGGGACGGGUGGGGACCGGCUGGGCACGGCCCGGGGCUCGCCCGAGGGAGCUGCCCGGAGAUUUGGGGUACCCGAAGGCAGCCUGGGGGAACGCGGGACACCAUGAGAGCCGGAGGCAGAGCGCACCCGGUGACAGCGGGCACCGGGUGCGCCCCGGAGGUGGGGCGGGACACCGCGGGAGCCGAGGGCUCGGUGCGCCCGGGAGUGCGGGAGAUGCCGGGUUUUUCCCAGGGCGGGGAAUCCCCACACACGCUGGGCGCUGCUCCUGGCGUGGCCGUGGCUGCGGAGCCCUCGGAUAUCGCUCCCGGGCCCUGCCGAUAACGAGAGCCGCUCCCCGGCAGGGGCGGAGCGCGGCCGAGGAUGCCGGGACCCGCAGUCCGUCCCACCGCUCCCGGAGCCCACCCGGGGAUGCCGCUCCCUGGGGACCCCGCAAGCAGCUCCGGUUGCUCUGGUCCCGGUGUGCUCUGGCUCCGCUUCCCCCAACAAUCCCGGACGUGUCCGCUGGCAGCUCUGCCGCAGUGGGACUGGGGAUACCGGGACGUGCAUUCCUGCCCCAACGUGCACGGGGGCCACAACCCUGCCCACGGCUCCAGGAUGGCUGCAGGACCCGACCCCUCCUAGGGCAGAUGUUCUGGGGCAUCUCCAAACCCGCUGGCACUUUGGGGACAGCCAGAGCUGACAGCAGGAACACCCCUGUGACCCGCAGCAGGGCUGACUGCGAGCCACGAGGUGGGGCCCAGGCCCCCAUUCCCGGCGCACAGGGCUGGAGCCAAGGCCUGUCACUGAUUGUCUCCUGCUCUGGCAGCAGCCACAGCAGGCCCAGGGCUGUCUGGCCCCCAGCCUCAUCCCACGAGCCACCCCAGACCCAUUGCCCUUGGGAAGUGCUCUGGGUUCUGCUGGGACUGCCCGGAAAGCAGCUGUUGUUUUGCUCAUCGCUGGUGCUGGCACGGGCUGCGGCAGGAAGCAGAUCCACUUCCCCAAGCACUGGGGUUGGCUGCGGCCAUGGCGCUGAGCUCAGGCAGGAUGUUCCCCCCAGUCCCACUUCCCAGACCAGCUCCUGCUGCUUUGUCCCCGCUCGCUCCUGUCCCAAGCACAGCACAUGAACCUCGGUGUCCUGCCAUGCUCUGUGGCAGCCCGGGCCCAUGGCCAGGCAAAGCAGGUGCCAAGCAUGGGAAUGAGCCCACCAAGAGCCCUCUACCCCACGGAGGGACUCACCAUGGGCCCACAGAGGGCGAUGGCUUCGCCUUCCCCUGGCUGCCCCGAGGGACCGUCCCCAGCCGACAGAAGAACAGGCUCAGGGCAGCACGGGGCUGCAGGGGUUAUUUUAUUCUUUGCUUUGGUCUAUACAAAAACAACUUACAGAAAUAAUAAAAUCUUCCAUUCCUGACCCACACUCCAGUAACUGUCCAUCCCUUUCCAGCUGGAGUGUUAAACCACCAUCAGAUCUAAAGCCUCUUUAAAAAAUGCGUUAGAUAAGGGAGGAGGGGAUGGAAACACACCACUCACCAAAGAGAAGGGAAACGGGUUAAAAUGUGCAACAAAGAUCGGUACAAGGACACAGUUCCUAAUGCUGGAGUCACUCCUCUAUGGGGACUGGCAGGACAGGGACACGAAGUCAGCUCCCAGUGGCUGAUGGGAAAGAAUUAAACCUCAGACACCCCGAAGGUCCUGGGACACGGACCCUUUGCUUUCAGCAAACUCUGGGUUGGCCUGAUUCAGUUGGAGUUUGCAGGAAGCAAAGGGUUUUUUUCAUGUCAGAUUCCUCUCCUAGAACACUAACACGCAGAACAAAUCGUGGGGAAGUUAGAAAGCACAAACUUAAAGACGGCAAAAGCCGCUGGCACCAUAUUAAAAAUAAAAAAGAAAUAUAUAUUCAUAGAAAAGACUAUUUUGCCAAAGAAAGAUCACUAACGGUGCAGGGUUUGUGUUUUAAAGCUUCAGAAACAGUAUCUUGGAUGCUGGAUGCAGCAGUAGGUGCUCGAAGCAGUCCCAGGAGGAAGGACCUUCUCCACAGACCCACAGCGAAGAAAACAAAUCGAAAAAUAAAACC